UUUUCUUUUACCAUCUUCUCAUUUUUCAUUUUUCCUCGUAGCAGCGCCACCUCAAAUCCCCAACCUCCUUCAAGCAAAUCAACACCGCCACCUUAAGUCAGUGAUUUUCUUUAUCUUGACAAGGUCAGAUGCGUUUUCCAGAUCACUUAUCUUCUUCAAAUCAUUUAGGUUGCUUCAAGAUUGGUUCCCGAAGAUGCCAAAACCUUCAUCAACUUAAUCACAUCCCAAGAUGAAGACUACGACGACCUUACAGAAAAAUAAUUGGCUUGGUUUCUUGCCCGGAAUUUGUUUUUAUGACUCAUUCUAUCCUGCAGUCCUUGAUACGUUUUGCUUGGUUUCUCGGAAAUCUAGUAAAAAAGUUUAGGUAAAGUCACUGGGGGUCAUUUUCGAGGCACAUUUGCUUCAGUAAUUACCUAGGCAAUGCUUGUCCACCCUGAUAAAAGAUAUGGGGGAUGAAAAGGUUGUAGAAGCCUUCAAGAAGCUUCAGAAUGCAUAUGAGGUACAUUUGGUCUCCAGUUAGUAUAGUAGUAAGAAUCUAACUAUCCUCGUGUAAUUAUGUUUAUAGCUGGUUGUCUCCACGUUUUACUUAACUCUUUGAAGCGUGAAGCAUAUAAUGAUGAAUUGAGGAACGAGGAGCUACUAAACUGGUUUCGGAGACCAAAGUUCACCAGAUCCACACAUCCGUAAAUCUAGGUACGAUGAGUUGGCUUCUAAAUACUUCGUUGAGUACAUUGCUGGAGGUAACACUACACCUGUGUUUUUAAGCUUCUUAUGCUUAUUCUAUGGUUUGUCAUUAAACAUCAGCUAAUUGAGGCCUGUGUUAUCUUAACUUACAUGGAUUCUAUAUUCUGGGUUAUGUUUGAUUUUAUAUUUUGUUCAUAGCUGUUGCUUGAUACAAAGUCCUGGAUUCAAAGAUUUUCUACUAAAGUUCGAGCUCUUUAGAGUUUAAGAGCAACUGUCGAUUCGGGAUUUGAGCAUUCAUCUGAAGUCAAUUUACUUUUUACUUGGAUUCUUUUAUGUUUUUCUGGAUUACCUAUUUAUUUGUGUAUCUGCUUGUAUCGCGUAGUCUUGUAUUAAGAUUAUGCUUCAGUUGGCUAUUGGUCCUUUUGAGUAGCAUGGUAAGGAGGUUGUAUUUUACUUUAUUUGUUAUUUUAGUUCAGAUUAGCGUGGAUUUAUGUUCUGAAAUGUGUUGUUUGAGUUGCAGGAAAACCACUAGUGCUGCACUCCUGGUUUUGGAUGCAAAAUUUUAUUGGUUACCAUUUACAUAAGAGUUCCCAGAUAUCAUUUCUCACUCACUGAGAUUCCUCGGUGUCUAAUUUUUCUUUUGGUUCUCAAUCAGUUCAACAUGAAUGCAUUCCUCAAGCUAAUUUUGGGUAUGGAUGAAGAUUUUAACCAUUCUCUGUUGAUGCUUAUAUUUCAACCAUAAUAUCUGCCAUGAGUUUGAGCGGUUCAGCACAUACCUGCCUGAUAUGAAAGUUGAUGUGUUCUAUAGUGGUGUUAACAUCAAGACCCAUAAGGUUCAGUAAGUGCUAUGGGUUGUUUGUUGGAGUCGUCGGUGGUAGUAGAUGCUGGUGGUGUGGUUAAUGACGCACAUUUUUUUGGGUUUAGUUGGUAGUGGUGCCUCUUUAGCUUAGUGUUGCGGAGGAACCCCUAGGAUCUGUUGAUACAAGAACCACCAAGAGAGCUUAUACUAUAUUUGCAAGAUUUUGACUACUUCUGAUACCAGUAUUCAUGGAAGGUUCUCAAUUCUUCGUAAACAUGCAAUGAAUCUGUUGUACAUGGCCCGAGCGACAAAAUAACUCAGAAAUUGAUUACGAAGGAUUUUCAUGGCUAUGUGUGGUGAUUUAAGCAUAUUCAGAGGUCAACCUCGGCGGCAUUUACUCACAGCUGGUUGGAGUACUUUUGUCACUUUAAAAAGAUUGGUUGCAGGAGACACUUUUGUGUUUCUCAGGGGAGAAUGGGGCUUUGUGCGUUAAUAGUAAGGCCUUAUGGUUGGACAGAGCAGAGAUAAAUCCCUACAGGGGACCCUCUAUGUGGUGAAAUUAAGAAGCUUAAUGUAAUGAGAUAAAUCCCUACAGAAGAAAUUCAGAAUCAAAGCAAGAGCAGUUUAAUGUAAUGUUAGGCAGCUUCACAAUUUACCUUAAUUAAGAAAGUGGUUCCUUGGGUUGCUGGUAACUUGUCUCGAGCUUUUCUCGAUUUCAGAGGAAACCUGGCUAGUGAUUUUCUUGUUGGGUCAAUUGAUAUUUGAUCCGGAUUUCUUUCUCUUUUCUUUUGUCAUGUCAAAUAUAAAGUUAAUUACUGUAUUUUUAAGGAAACUGAAGUAAUGCAAUGGUUAAUACAACCCUA